rnacentral:rRNA from 1 species
AGUGAACGCUGGCGGUAGGCCUAACACAUGCAAGUCGAACGGCAGCACAGUAAGAGCUUGCUCUUACGGGUGGCGAGAGGCGGACGGGUGAGGAAUACAUCGGAAUCUACUUUUUCGUGGGGAUAACGUAGGGAAACUUACGCUAAUACCGCAUACGACCUACGGGUGAAAGCAGGGGAUCUUCGGACCUUGCGCGAUUGAAUGAGCCGAUGUCGGAUUAGCUAGUUGGCGGGGUAAAGGCCCACCAAGGCGACGAUCCGUAGCUGGUCUGAGAGGAUGAUCAGCCACACUGGAACUGAGACACGGUCCAGACUCCUACGGGAGGCAGCAGUGGGGAAUAUUGGACAAUGGGCGCAAGCCUGAUCCAGCCAUACCGCGUGGGUGAAGAAGGCCUUCGGGUUGUAAAGCCCUUUUGUUGGGAAAGAAAAGCAGCAGGUUAAUACCCCGCUGUUCUGACGGUACCCAAAGAAUAAGCACCGGCUAACUUCGUG